rnacentral:rRNA from 1 species
AGAACGUCGUGAGACAGUUCGGUCCCUAUCCGUCGUGGGCGUAGGAAAUUUGAGAGGAGCUGUCCUUAGUACGAGAGGAUCGGGAUGGACAUACCUCUGGUGUACCAGUUGUCGUGCCAACGGCAUAGCUGGGUAGCUAUGUAUGGACGGGAUAAGUGCUGAAAGCAUCUAAGCAUGAAGCCCCCCUCAAGAUGAGAUUUCCCAACUUCGGUUAUAAGAUCCCUCGAAGAUGACGAGGUUAAUAGGUUCGAGGUGGAAGCGUGGUGACACGUGGAGCUGACGAAUACUAAUCGAUCGAAGACUUAAUCAA